GUGCCAGCAGCCGCGGUAAUACGUAGGGUGCGAGCGUUAAUCGGAAUUACUGGGCGUAAAGCGUGCGCAGGCGGUUCUAUAAGACAGAUGUGAAAUCCCCGGGCUUAACCUGGGAACUGCGUUUGUGACUGUAGGACUCGAGUGUGGCAGAGGGGGGUGGAAUUCCACGUGUAGCAGUGAAAUGCGUAGAGAUGUGGAGGAACACCGAUGGCGAAGGCAGCCCCCUGGGUCAACACUGACGCUCAUGCACGAAAGCGUGGGUAGCAAACAGGAUUAGAUACCCCCGUAGUCC
rnacentral:rRNA from 1 species